rnacentral:rRNA from 1 species
UACGGGAGGGGCAAGCGUUAUCCGUCAUGACUGGGCGUAAAGGGUCCGUAGACUGUGACGUAAGUUAUUUGUUAAAAUUUAAAGCUUAACUUUAAACCAGCGCUUAAUACUGCAUCACUUGAGUUUUAUUCAGAAGAGUAGAAUUUUUUAUAAUAGGGAUAAAAUCCGUUAGAAUAUAAAAAGGAACACCAGAAAGUGAAGACGACUCUUUAGUAAAAACUGACGUUGAGGGACGAAAGUGUAGG